rnacentral:rRNA from 1 species
UACAGAGGGGGCAAGCGUUGUUCGGAAUUACUGGGCGUAAAGGGCGCGUAGGCGGCCUGCUAAGUCAUACGUGAAAUCCCAUGGCUCAACCAUGGAACUGCGUGUGAUACUGGCGGGCUUGAAUUCGGGAGAGGGAUGCGGAAUUCCAGGUGUAGCGGUGAAAUGCGUAGAUAUCUGGAGGAACACCGGUGGCGAAGGCGGCAUCCUGGACCGACACUGACGCUGAGGCGCGAAAGCUAGGGGAGCAAACGGG